rnacentral:rRNA from 1 species
GUCGAGCGAACGGACGAGAAGCUUGCUUCUCUGAUGUUAGCGGCGGACGGGUGAGUAACACGUGGAUAACCUACCUAUAAGACUGGGAUAACUUCGGGAAACCGGAGCUAAUACCGGAUAAUAUUUUGAACCGCAUGGUUCAAAAGUGAAAGACGGUCUUGCUGUCACUUAUAGAUGGAUCCGCGCUGCAUUAGCUAGUUGGUAAGGUAACGGCUUACCAAGGCAACGAUGCAUAGCCGACCUGAGAGGGUGAUCGGCCACACUGGAACUGAGACACGGUCCAGACUCCUACGGGAGGCAGCAGUAGGGAAUCUUCCGCAAUGGGCGAAAGCCUGACGGAGCAACGCCGCGUGAGUGAUGAAGGUCUUCGGAUCGUAAAACUCUGUUAUUAGGGAAGAACAUAUGUGUAAGUAACUGUGCACAUCUUGACGGUACCUAAUCAGAAAGCCAUGGCUAACUACGUGCCAGCAGCCGCGGUAAUACGUAGGUGGCAAGCGUUAUCCGGAAUUAUUGGGCGUAAAGCGCGCGUAGGCGGUUUUUUAAGUCUGAUGUGAAAGCCCACGGCUCAACCGUGGAGGGUCAUUGGAAACUGGAAAACUUGAGUGCAGAAGAGGAAAGUGGAAUUCCAUGUGUAGCGGUGAAAUGCGCAGAGAUAUGGAGGAACACCAGUGGCGAAGGCGACUUUCUGGUCUGUAACUGACGCUGAUGUGCGAAAGCGUG